GCUGCUGGGUGGACUGAUUCUAUCGUAUCCUCUAGCACCUAUCAGAGUACUCCUCAAUACUCCACUUAUCGCAGAGGGCCUCCCAUAUAUCCAUCCACAUCUAGUGAUCUGUAUAAGACUUUCAAUCUGAUGGUGACUUGAAACUGGAGACUCAGAACUAGAGUGCUUUACAGUGAACUACUGAAAGCUGUACAGCUCAUCUUGAAAUCUCUAUGUGGCCACCUUCUCGAAGGUCCGACAGUCAGUCUCUUCAUCUUGAGGAGUCUCGAAUUGAUAGUACCCUUGUAAGUAGAAAUAACUGUGUAUUAAUAAAUAGAAUACAAAUCUAUCGUACAUUUAAAAAUUAAACAUCUUUGUUUUACUAAGAACAUCUUCCAGGUUGCACCACGAGCCCCCGAUGGCCAACUGAAGAACUCAUUCACCAGCUCCAAUAUCAAUUGUUAGAUGAUAUCGAUAACCACACGAGGCACCCCAGACUCUGUAAAUGUGCUGUAAAAUUUAUUUUGAACAAUAAAUAUUAGACUCUAAAAUAGCUAAAAUUUAAAUAUAUUCAGUGAAGAUAUAUAGUACUUACGUGCAACUUAGAACAUGGACGAGCUCACUAUCCUCCAGUC
rnacentral:lncRNA from 1 species